rnacentral:rRNA from 1 species
UUAGAAGUUGUAUUAAUUGUUAAUUAUUAGGUUUGUGUGCCUUUUGCAUCAUGCUUAUGUGAUAUUUUAGACUAUUUCUUACUAUCGAAAAGUUUGGAUCUACCCCGGUAACUGCUCAGCGGUGGUAAAUUGGGUAAAUAUUUUAUAGAUUAUGGGGGUAGGAGUGAUAAGUUAAUCGGCAAAUUUUAUAGCUAUUUAACGGUUGAGUAUUUGAUUUAGUAAUUGGGCAAUGAUGUCAAGUUACUGAGUAUACUUUGUUUAUAUUUUAAUUUAUAAAGGGUUAAAGAUACCUUUAUAUUGAGUGUCUGUUAAAAGUCUUUAUUAUAUGGUUUUUGUUACUUUAGUCUACCGUUUGUUUUUAAUAGUUUGUGGCUUUUUAUGCUUAAAUUAGUAAUAUUAUCAGUGCUUUUGUUUCUCAAGCACUUUCCGUCUGUUUAUUAAAAACAUUUCUAUGGUUAAUAGUCUAUAGUAGUACCUGCCCUAUGUUUAUAUAAAUGGCCGCAGUAUAUUGACUGUGCGAAGGUAGCAUAAUUAAUUGCCUUAUAAUUGAAGGCUUGUUUGAAUGGUUUGACGGGAGAGUUGUUAACAUUAGUUCUUUACUUGAAAUUAGUUUGGAGGGCACAGAAACCUCCGUUUGUUAAUUAGACGGAAAGACCCCGGGAUCUUUUUAUUUUGCCUGGGGCAGGUGUAAGUUUUUCACUUAUAUUAAGACCCUUUUAAGGUUUAUUGGGUUAAGUUACCCCGGGGAUAACAGUAUCAUAGUUUAAUAGAGAUCCUAUCGAAUAAACUGUUUGUUACCUCGAUGUUGACUUAGGUUUAACGACUGGCGCAGUAGUUAGUCGUUAAGGUCUGUUCGACCUUUAUGGCCUCCAUGAGUUGAGUUAAGACCGGUGUAAGCCAGGUCGGUUCUUAUCUAUUUUUCUAGCCUACUAGUACGAAAGGACCUUAGGUUGUUUUUUU